rnacentral:rRNA from 1 species
UACAUGUGGGGCAAGCGUUGUUCGGAAUUACUGGGCGUAAAGGGCUCGUAGGCGGCCAACUAAGUCAGACGUGAAAUCCCUCGGCUUAACCGGGGAACUGCGUCUGAUACUGGAUGGCUUGAGAUUGGGAGAGGGAUGCGGAAUUCCAGGUGUAGCGGUGAAAUGCGUAGAUAUCGUAAGGAAGACCAGUGGCGAAGGCGGGUCUCUGGACAGUUCCUGAGGCUGAGGCACGAAGGCCAGGGGAGCAAACGGG